rnacentral:pre_miRNA from 1 species
UCUUAUGGAUGAGCAAACAAAGUAGUUUCUUGAGGUAGAACCCGCUCUUGGUGAAGAUGCUAUGAA